ACCCCUUUUCCUUCUGGCUGCAACGUUCCUCCUCCUUUCCAUUUCCCUGUUUUUAACUCUCCCGCACCAAGUCAUUCUCCAUCACUUUCCCGAGAACUUCCUUGCAGAGAAAACCUCAGAAGCACUCCUCUCAAAAGAAAAAAAGACAGCCCCGAACAUUCUGUCCAGAGUAAACGGCGUUGUCUGGAUGGGUUCGCUCUCAUCCUACAAGUCCAUGCUGGAACUCGAAGACGAAUGGUAUAAUAUGGACAAUAAUACUGCCCAAAACCACUUAACCUUCUUAGCCAAUCUCGCUGACCAUGUCCCUGAGAGCCUAUUGCUACACCCAGCUGACUCGUCCUCUUCUUGCUCUCCAGCUUCCUCUGUUUUCACCAACCUCGACCCUUCUCAGGUGCACUACCUUUUGCCUCCCAAACCAACUUCUUCUUCCCUUAUUAACGGCCUCUCGAACAACCCUUUAGAGCAUGGGUUUGAUUUGGGGUGCGACGUCGGGCUUGUCGAAGCCCAAGCUUCCAAUGUUCCCAGUUUUCUGAACAGGGAAGGUGGGUUUUUGAGCAACUUCACCGAUUUGAGCUCCAAUUCUCAGAUUAACGCUCUCGGUAUAUGCUCAGAUUCCCAACUCCAGACGACGCGUCUGCCUACUUUUCCUGAAGUUGAUGCCGGGUUCGCUGGGUGUAAGGGUUUAGAUGAGGAUUCUGGGAAUGCUCUGUUUAUGAAUAGGUCCAAGAUUCUAAGACCGCUCGAAUCUUUCACUUCAACGGGCGCGCAGCCCACUCUUUUUCAAAAGAGAGCGGCUCUAAGGAAAAACUUGGCCGGUUGUGGGGGCAAUUUGGCGAUUUCGAAUGCUGUUGAGGGAGAUAAAGGGCAGAAAGAAAUGGGGGAACAGGGUGAGGGAAAUACGAAACUGAGCAUUGGGGAUGAUGUGGAAGAUGCAAGCUUUGAUGGGUAUGGUCUGAAUUACGAUUCAGAUGAGUUCACGGAGAACGAUAAGGCAGAGGGCAAUGCUAAGGACAAAGGCGGGAAUAGCUCCAAUGCAAUUAAUAGUAUUACCGGUGGAGAAGAGCAGAGGGGGAAGAAGAAGGGGCUCCCUGCUAAGAAUCUGAUGGCUGAGAGGCGCCGCCGGAAGAAGCUUAAUGAUAGGCUCUACAUGCUGAGGUCCGUGGUUCCGAAGAUUAGUAAAAUGGAUAGGGCUUCAAUCCUUGGGGACGCAAUUGAAUACUUGAAGGAACUUCUGCAAAGGAUCAAUGACCUCCAUAACGAAUUGGAGUCAACCCCUCCUGGCUCUUCACUGUCAGCUACCACAAGCUUCCACCCUUUGACACCCACACUAACUACCCUACCCAGCCGAACAAAGGAAGAGAUUUGCCCGAGCUCAAUGCCCAGCCCAAAUGGCCAAGCUGCAAGGUGGAAGUUAGGGUAAGAGAAGGAAGAGCUGUAAACAUCCACAUGUUUUGUGGCCGCAGACCUGGUCUCUUGCUCUCCACCAUGAGGGCUAUGGAUAACCUUGGAUUAGAUAUCCAACAAGCAGUCAUAAGCUGUUUCAAUGGUUUUGCAAUGGAUAUAUUUCGAGCUGAGGGAAAAUAACUUUGCAGACGUUAAUGGGUGACCUCUCUCUAUUUUCAGCAAUACAAGGAAGAGCAAGGGCAGGAUGUCUAUCCCGAGCAAAUCAAGGCAGUGCUUUUGGACUCAGCUGGCCUCCAUGGAAUGAUGUAGCUGGAAAGUUUCAAGUCAACCUCGCAACUGUACUUUGUAUUUCAUUGCUCAUAGUUAAGUUAAAUUGUACUACUAUUUAAGUUAGCAAUUUCUCCAUAUUGAGUGCCAAUUAAGUAGAUUAGGUUGUAUCAUUAGGAAGUUAGCACUCAAAUCACGCCUGCAUUGAUUGGAAAUCCGUAUGCAGCAUUACUCACCAAUUAGCCUAUUGCAUUACUAAUUUUCCCGUUAAUGGGCUCGAGGACAACACAGUGCUAAGCCAGCAAUUAAUCAAUCUUGGUUUUUUUGUUUCGUUCUAAAAUGAGUUGCAUGUAUAGUUGGUUACAUUGAAAUUUAUUGGAAAAUUUAAUCAGCAA